GACGGGGAGCACUACAACGGGUGGAGCCUGCGGUUUAAUUGGACUCAACGAACCGGAAACUCACCGGGGGCGACAGCAAUAUGUAGGUCAAGCUAAAGACUUUACCAGAAUCGCUGAGAGGAGGUGCAUGGCCGUCGUCAGUUCGUACUGUGAAGCAUCCUGUUAAGUCAGGCAACGAGCGAGACCCGUGCCCACUGUUGCCAGCAUGUCCUUCGGGAUGAUGGGUACUCUGUGGGGACCGCCGAUGCUAAAUCGGAGGAAGGUGCGGGCUACGGUAGGUCAGUAUGCCCCGAAUCUCCCGGGCUACACGCGGGCUACAAUGACUGGGACAAUGGGCUCCUACCCCGAAAGGGGAUGGUAAUCUCAUAAACCCAGCCUUAGUUCGGAUCGAGGGCUGUAACCCGCCCUCGUGAAGCUGGAAUCCGUAGUAAUCGCGUUUCAACAUAGCGCGGUGAAUACCGUCCCUGCUCCUU
rnacentral:rRNA from 1 species